GCCCAGUGAUGAUACCAAGGCGAAUGUGAGCCUAUUGGAUGCGAGUCUGAGUUCUCCUGUGUUCAUGUUGGCUGGUAAUCUUGAGAGGGCAGCGGAGAUUUGCUGCUUUGUUGUAAGGGCCAGCCUACAUUAAUAAAGCUCCUUUACUCACACUCUUCUAUAAAGGAAGGAAUGAGAGCAUGUGUGAAGUGUGCUGACAGUGUGUGUGUUUGUAUGUACGCGAAUACAGGUAGAUUCUCAGCACUCUGCUUUAUUCAGUAGGCUUUGAACUGCUUCUUUGGUAAUCUGAGGGUG